AUGUUUGUAACGGUCCUUCAUGAAGAAAACGAAAAGACCCUUUUUAACAUUCACUGCAAAGUCCAGCUUCUCCUGGAGAGCAUCAAACACUGCUGUGGCUAUGAGAAUGAAGGUGAAAUCGAGCUGGCAGACGUGAGUGGCCAGGUGAAGAAUUUGCUUCAGAACCAACAUUGCUAUGCCUCAGAACUUCUGAGCGAGAGAGAGACCUGUGUACUCCUCAGUGUCACACGUGGUGAAGGUUCUUCAGAGGUAGUAUUUACACCACUACUGAAAGAUGAAGGAAUUAUUAACCCUAAAUUCCUUGCUAAACUGGGGAACUGGGAAGAUUCCAAGGUCUCUUCUACCAGAGUGAAAUCCAAAAAGGCUGGCAAAAAACCAACUGUGCUCUUAGAGGUUCCAUCUGCAGAAGGUGAGUCUCUGAAACCUAAUGAAGAGACAAUAGGGUUUAAUCCUGUUAUGUUCCCUUUAGAUUUCCAGCACCCACCCAUGAGCGUUGUGUGUUUCUGCUGCAGGAAAAAGGAGUCCAUCGCCCCAGGGCAACAGGACUAAAACUAUGGUUUCCUCUCCGAAAGAAUCCAGGAGACCCUGAUAGUGGCAAAUCCCAAGGGAUGGUUGGUGCUGAGCUGUUGGAGGACCUCUCCUUUCCUGCUGCCAUUUGAUAAUGUUUCAUGUUUGCUGGCUUGUUCCUUGGUGAAGCAUCUAUGGAUGGGUUGUGUCCAGGAGUCUGCAACACUAGGAAUGUUACUUGCAUGUAUUGCCUUUCAUUCUGAAUGACCCCAGAUUUACUGUGGAAAAACACUUCCAUUCUCUGCUGGCCAAUUUGAAAGGAAAUGAGAACUGCUUCCUUCAUGAUGGCUCACAGAAAAAUGAAAGCUGCAUCUCAAGAGGGAGUACCAUGAAAUAAUGAUCUAAGUAUGGGCAUAGAUAGGGGAGACCUCCUGAGCUGUAAUCCCUUUAUUGAGCCCUGCUACACUGGACCACUGAUUUACUGUUAAUUCAGCAGAAAAGGUGCAUGUGGUGCUUGACAGACCCAUUUAAAGUCACAGCUCCAAACCCCAAGGAGUUUACAGUCCAGCUAAAACUCUUUUUAGCUGGUAACUAAUCUCACUGAGCUACUACUUCAGUGGGAUUAUUCACAUGGUUACGUACCUUGCUGAACAGAGAUUGUAAUGGUUAAUUCACUACAUUAAAACAUCACUUUAUGUGAAACAUGCUAUAGUGCUAGCAUGGAAAUUGGCUGACCUUCCUUUUGUAAGGCCUGAGUCAUGUAUCUGUGGUCCUUGGCUCCUCGUGUGGAUGAUUCAGAUGGAAGGGC
ensembl:lncRNA